UGCCCCUUCUCUGCCAGACACAAUAUCUCCUACAUCAUGGCACUUUCAUUAUUACCUGUACUUGUUGCUUGUACUCAUAUUGUUAUUUAAAUAACCAAUAACAAAAUCUUUCUUUUUAUUGUUAUUCUUGGUAUUUAUUGAAAAGGAUUUUUUUUUAGUUCUCCCAAUUAACAAUGGUACAGUAUCAUGAAAGGCAACAUUGAUUUAAAAAAAAGAUGUGUUGUGCCACUCUUAUCAUAUUUAUAAGUUGAAUUUGUAUUUGAUGAUUGCAGAAAUGAUGCUUAAAAGCAUGAAUGAAUUCUUUCUACUUUUAUUUCAGGGGAUUCAUUCAACAGAUGAAGUCAACUUCAUACAGAAUCUAGUUUUUUAUGUGGAGAGAGCUUAUAGAACACCUGACUAUGAGCUUAUAGAACACCUGACUCUGGGAUGUGGGAAAGAGGAAAUAUAACAAUGGAAGCAUAGAGAUUCAUGCCAGUUGGCAUUGCUAGAGCAGCAUUAAGGCAGUCAAUGAAUGUAACUUAUUUGGUGAGCAUGGAGCCACCUGGUCUGGGAUUUUUGUUAAUAUUGAUGCCCACCACAGGAACAGAACAAUAUUUGAAACUAUCUGACCAUGGGAAUCAAACUCUGAGAACACUGAUGCCUCUCCGUAAGUUGGCCUGCAUUAGCCGUAAAUGAAGAUAAUGUUAGAAUGAAAACAAUUGAGAAGGUCAUUCGCAAGUUAAAGGCAACUUUGGUAUCAAACAUUUUCCUAGAGAUAGGUACAAAACAGCUGUAGAGGACAAAAAUAGAAAGUAUUACCGCCCUGCUGAAAUUAAGUUUUGAUGGGAUUGAAUUUGAGGGACCUAAGGUGUCAUUUUAAUUGAUUUACAUUUAUAAGCACAGUAAGACUUUCUGAUCUUUUGGCAUCAUUUUACAUAGCUCAGAAGACAGAAACUGCCACACAGUCUGCUCUGAACUCCCAAGAGUACUCCAAAUUACCAUGCCCCUUCAUAUGUUGACCUAACAAAGUCAAAAUUGCCAAGGAGAGUUGAGUAAAUAGAAGCGCAAAAGUUUCAUUUAUUAACUUUUAAAGCAAUAACACAGUUGAAUGUUCAAGUAUCCACCUGACUGAUGAAUGUUCAAGUAUCCACCAGACUGAUGAAUGUUCAAGUAUCCACCAGACAGAUGAAUGUUCAAGUAUCCACCAGAUAGAUGAAUGUUCAAGUAUCCACCAGACAGUUGAAUGUUCAAGUAUCCACUAGACAGAUGAAUGUUCAAGUAUCCACCAGACAGUUGAAUGUGCAAGUAUCCACUAGACAGAUGAAUGUUCAAGUAUCCACCAUUUCAUUAAUUAUCAUAUUUCUCUUUUAGGAAAAUGUUUCUGUUUUCACUUUAUUUUAUUUUGUACCAGUCUAGUAUUUUUACCAUUAAAAAUUUAUAUUUCAUGUUAGUAAAAAAGAUGUUUGAAAUUUUGUUGCAAAAUUUAUAAAAAAAAUCUAUAUAUAUAUUAAAAUAGUAAUUUACUCAACCUUGGAAUCCUAUCACUGAACUGGGAAAGCUAGCUUUGAUUGUUUUUGUUGUUGUAAAAAGCCAUAUGGAUAGUGUGUAUAUUAUGCAAAGGUUGAUUAUUAGCUAUUAAGGUUGGAGUUUUCCUUUUUUUAAUUUUUACAUGAUUUCAAUGUUAAAUACCACUGUAGUUGUCUUUCUGAUAAUGAUGCUAUGAUGUGGUCUUGGUAUAUUUUUUCUGUGAUUAGAUGUUGUAACAUAUAGAUAUUGACAAUGUAAAAAGUUUAUAUACAACCAAGUUCAUACAUUAAUCUAUUUCACAAUCAUACAAACUAUAAACUGCGUAAAGCUUUUUGUUAUUAUUAAAAAUAUAAACUGUAAAGUAUUGGAUACUAAAAUGCAUUUUAAU